rnacentral:rRNA from 1 species
UAGGGAAUCUUCCGCAAUGGGCGAAAGCCUGACGGAGCAACGCCGCGUGAGUGAUGAAGGUCUUCGGAUCGUAAAACUCUGUUAUUAGGGAAGAACAAAUGUGUAAGUAACUAUGCACGUCUUGACGGUACCUAAUCAGAAAGCCACGGCUAACUACGUGCCAGCAGCCGCGGUAAUACGUAGGGUGCGAGCGUUGUCCGGAAUUACUGGGCGUAAAGGGCUCGUAGGUGGUUUGUCGCGUCGUCUGUGAAAUUCCGGGGCUUAACUCCGGGCGUGCAGGCGAUACGGGCAUAACUUGAGUACUGUAGGGGUAACUGGAAUUCCUGGUGUAGCGGUGAAAUGCGCAGAUAUCAGGAGGAACACCGAUGGCGAAGGCAGGUUACUGGGCAGUUACUGACGCUGAGGAGCGAAAGCAUGGGUAGCGAACAGG